UGAAGUUUUAUCUCUCUAUAUUAUCGAGCGUAUUCUUGUGAGUAUUUUGAGUAUACUUUGAGUAUUGCUAUACGGUGCAAGUUCAAGUCAUAGCCUAUAUCCGGUGUUUCAACUAGAAGUACUGUCUUUCGAGGUAAGGGAUGUUAUUUUCUUCUCAAAUGAUAUUAUUUCUUCAAUAUCAUUAUGCUGAAAUAUUGGUUGGAACUUUUUAUCAAAUUUGGAACUUUUUCAUGUCGGGGUUACUAUUCAUGAGUUACUAUUCACGAGUUACUAUUCAUGAGUUACUAUUCACGAGUUACUAUUCAUGAGUUACUAUUCACGAAGCGUGAAGAUGUUUUUUUGUGAAAUUUCUAUCUUUUGGUGUCGGAGUUACUAUUCAUGUAUACGGCAUUAUUCAC
rnacentral:lncRNA from 1 species